rnacentral:miRNA from 1 species
CUAUACACAAGCACAAUCACUGACCCACGCACAAACAUUACAUACAAUGUUUGUGUGUGGGUCAGUGAUUGUGCUUGUGUAUAGCUGUGAUUAU